rnacentral:pre_miRNA from 1 species
UCUUUAGGGCUUGAUCCAAAGCCCACUGAAGUCAAUGGAAAGAUAUCCUUUGACUUUCAUGGGCUUUGGAUCAGGCUCUUGAUGA